rnacentral:rRNA from 1 species
CAGCCGCCGCGGUAAUACGGAGGGCGCGAGCGUUACCCGGGUUUACUGGGCGUAAAGGGCGUGUAGGCGGCCUGGGGCGUCCCAUGUGAAAGGCCACGGCUCAACCGUGGAGGAGCGUGGGAUACGCUCAGGCUAGAGGGUGGGAGAGGGUGGUGGAAUUCCCGGAGUAGCGGUGAAAUGCGCAGAUACCGGGAGGAACGCCGAUGGCGAAGGCAGCCACCUGGUCCACUUCUGACGCUGAGGCGCGAAAGCGUGGGGAGCAAACCGGAUUAGAUACCCCCGUAGUCCCUGUCUCUUAUAC